rnacentral:rRNA from 1 species
AACGAGCGCAACCCUUAUUGUUAGUUGCCAUCAUUAAGUUGGGCACUCUAGCGAGACUGCCGGUGACAAACCGGAGGAAGGUGGGGAUGACGUCAAAUCAUCAUGCCCCUUAUGACCUGGGCUACACACGUGCUACAAUGGACAGUACAAUGAGCAGCGACACGGCGACGUGAAGCGAAUCUCAUAAAGCUGUUCUCAGUUCGGAUUGUAGGCUGCAACUCGCCUACAUGAAGCCGGAAUCGCUAGUAAUCGCGGAUCAGCACGCCGCGGUGAAUACGUUCCCGGGCCUUGUACACACCGCCCGUCACACCACGAAAGUUUGUAACACCCGAAGUCGGUGAGGUAACCGCAAGGAGCCAACCGCCUAAGGUGGGAUAGAUGAUUGGGGUGAAGUCGUAACAAGGUAACCAAGGGCGAAUUCUG